CGGGGCGUGGCGCAGUCUGGUAGCGCACCUGCUUUGGGAGCAGGGGGCCGGAGGUUCGAAUCCUCUCGCCCCGA
rnacentral:tRNA from 1 species